GAUUGAAGAAGAGGAAGAAUAAGAAGGAGGCGGGGUGCAAGAGACAAUAAGAGAAGGCAAACAUAGCAGAAAAGAGAGAAGACAAAAUGAGGUGGGGGGGUAAAUCAACAAAAAAAAGCUUUCCUGCGACCGACAGGAAUGACGCCUUACAUCAUGCAAGGGAAUAAAGGAUGACGCACCGAGCCGAUCGCUUUGUUGGAAAGCUAUUGCGCAAAAUGCCGGCCCAUACAUAUGGCGAAAUGCUCUCGGCCGCUUGCCGCCUGAUCAUCUGCCGAUCAGGAUUUGAGUAAAUGGGAUCUGGAAUCGCAGUGAGUGAACUCCGUCUGGAUAGCCAGCCGAGCUUCAUCCCGAAAUUCCUCAGACAAAAACGAAGGUUAUGCAUCCAGCAGGCGUUCGACUCCUAUUCCAGUACACAAUGCAAACAAAAAAGGUUGUGCUUCAAGCAGCAGUACAGACUGGUUUCAAGGAGAAUGACAAUCACACAAGAUCCCAUUCACUGCCAUCGAAGAAUAAAAUCCAUGUUUGGAUAAAACUUUGCUAGAUUUUACGCACAAGGUAAUAAAAACAAGGCUUUACACGAUCAGGAUUUUUGGAGCCUAUCACCGUGUUUAAAAAACCAAUAACCGAUCACAAGAUGGAGGAAUGUGUCUAU